UUUUUUUGAGUCAGUUGGAAGGAGUCGGGGGAGUGUAAAGAAUAGAAGGGGUAAGAAGAGAAGGAUGGAGGAGGAGACAACUGAGUGCGAUCUAGGGGGUAGGUGUCGGCCGUGAGAGACCACCGGCGGGGAGGGGAAGCAGUGGUAACAGCCGCCUGUGCGUCCGGGUACGAGAAGGGGCGGGGCGGGGAAGAAGUGUAGGAUAAGGGCUUCACGAGCUCCUCCGCGAGCUCGAGCCGUACGAGCGGCCGCUGUGGCCUCGGGAGGGAGGAGGACUACGUGAGAGGCAGCGGCGGUACUCGCAGAGAUGGAAGAGGGCGCGCGGUACUUAGGAGGGAGGGGGGAUGAGCUCUGCGGUAGUUCGGACCUCGUCCUCGUCGACGAUGAGGGCUGGAGGCCAAGGAAGAAAGGUACCUACUGGUGCUUCUGGAGGCGUACUACACGACGACGAACCCCGGGAGGGAUACGAAGAGGAGCGAGCAUUCCCAGGUCCCAAUCGACGAGUCCCCGGUACCACACAAGGCACACCGCGACGGAAGCGCCGGCGGCGGCAAGGGAACAACACAGAGACUCUGACCUCCAGGGACGAGCGGUUGAGUGUCUGCCAACAAGAGGCUGGUCAAUUUUUUCUUAAAAGACUUCCUCCUCCACGGCUUUCCCCUACCCUCGUUGUUCAGACUUAGCUUCUCUUGACUACCGUACAGGACGGUACUUCUUAAACUUCGCCAGUCUUCUGUAUUCUCGGCCCAGGAUAUGAUACAAUUCCGGUACGACUACACAUUCUCAAACGCCCACUGUAGGAGGUACCGUUAGUAUAAGGGAGGUUGUAGGAAGUCCGGUACCGCUGGUCCAGUUUCUUCAGCUUGGACUUCUUCACGUCCCUUCUUAAUAUCAACGCACACCGACCGACCAAGUCCCCUUAAAGUCCCACCGCGCCCACGGCCUCGUCCGAGGAUCCGUGACCGCUAGACAGCUUGCGUAUAAUCUUUGCUUCCACUUCCUCCUCGCCGGCGGGUGAGCUGCAACGCUACAUCCGGCCGCUCCCUCGGGCCGUCCCUCCGGAGUUACGCGACGUCCUGCAGCUCCCUUGGCAGGUCGCUCCGCUGCUACGCUACGUCCCUAGCUCCGGCGGCACGUACCUCCGCUGUCCCGCGCUGUCCCGAUGACUCGAAGCAGACCCCGCCACCGCUCCUUUCCGUCCCUCUCCCCGGUCCCUGUGCUAAUCCAAGCCGAAGGAAAAAAACGCUCAACCAAUCUACCAAUCUAAUCGCACUAAACUCCCCGACGCCUACGCCCUGCCUCUCAGAGUAUAAAAGUAGACCACCUCAUGCCAGUCAGAUAACUUUGACGAUUCGCGUGUGGUCUAGAACUUAUUUAAUUACUACCGACAAUCUAACCCAACACACCCGAAGUAGGACACCACGACUACGCAGACACCUGCAAAACGCCCCACGUGCAUUCUUUCA
rnacentral:rRNA from 1 species